GUGUGCGUGUGCGAUGAUCCUGCUGGGCCUGUGUUCUGGCCGAGACUAACUCGAGCGCUCGGUGCCUGCAGCCCUCGCAGUCAUCCCUCCGGCCACGCACUUUUCCACCCCGGCGAAAGAAUUGUCUGCCUCGGUCUCGAGGUGGGUCGGCCAGUCAUCAUCAACCAGCCGCAGCUCUCCAUCAUAAAUCGUAGUGAAUGAUACAGGGGACGUGGAUGCAUCGAGGUUGGACAAGACUUAAUCAACUCGGGAACGGGAGACUGCUCCGGCGCAGGCCGUACGGUGGCGCCGCAUAACGCAAACCGAUGGAAACUAGGCUGCUGGAACGUGAGGGUGGCUACCCCCACCCAUGUGCUACGCACCCCUUCCAUCUACAGCCACGAGGACACGAACCGCAACGCCGAGGGACGGUUCACUAUAUCAGAAUGAUGGCCAUGCCUGCAAAUAACCUAUGGACACUGGUGGGAGGACAACGAUUACGGGGUUACCUUGGUCAGAGGGUGUUCGAUGCCCGAUGCUGUAGGUACGAGGACUAUAAAUCAUAAUUAGGCUGCAAGCGGUAGCUGCGAAGUGGCUGCAGGCCCAUUAGCAGCAACAAUGCGCCCAAGCAGCUUAAGACGUCGUUGUUGCCAGAAGAAGAGUAACUCGACUCUCCAUUUACUCGAGCCAGAUCGUAUCGAAGCUGCGUAGCAGGACAUUCGCGGUCAGAAAAUAAUGGAUGCGAAACAUGUAACGAAUAUUUGAGCACGAUAUAGACUGUCAUUUAUCCUUUUUAAUGUGGUGUUACAGUAUUAUACUUGAAUAUAAGUCCCGAUGUACAUCUAUAAUUUAAAGUCUAAUGAAUUUUAUUUCAUAUACGUGUUAACCGUGUAGAAUAUGUUACCAAAUAUAUUUUUUUUAAUUUC